AGUGCUCGCAAGAGAACCGGAACACAGGUGCUGCAUGGCUGUCGUCAGCUCGUGUCGUGAGAUGUUGGGUUAAGUCCCGCAACGAGCGCAACCCUUGUCAUUAGUUGCCAUCAUUUGGUUGGGCACUCUAAUGAGACUGCCGGUGACAAACCGGAGGAAGGUGGGGAUGACGCCAAGUCCUCAUGGCCCUUAUGGGUAGGGCUUCACACGUCAUACAAUGGUCGGUACAGAGGGUUGCCAACCCGCGAGGGGGAGCUAAUCCCACAAAGCCGAUCGUAGUCCGGAUCGCAGUCUGCAACUCGACUGCGUGAAGUCGGAAUCGCUAGUAAUCGUGGAUCAGCAUGUCACGGUGAAUACGUUCCCGGGUCUU
rnacentral:rRNA from 1 species